CCUACGGGGGUCUGCAGUGGGGAAUAUUGGACAAUGGGCGAAAGCCUGAUCCAGCCAUGCCGCGUGUGUGAAGAAGGCCUUCGGGUUGUAAAGCACUUUCAGUGGGGAAGAAAGCCUUGGGGCUAAUACCCUCGAGGAAGGACAUCACCCACAGAAGAAGCACCGGCUAACUCCGUGCCAGCAGCCGCGGUAAUACGGAGGGUGCGAGCGUUAAUCGGAAUUACUGGGCGUAAAGCGCGCGUAGGCGGUCUGAUAAGCCGGUUGUGAAAGCCCCGGGCUCAACCUGGGAACGGCAUCCGGAACUGUCAGGCUAGAGUGCAGGAGAGGAAGGUAGAAUUCCCGGUGUAGCGGUGAAAUGCGUAGAGAUCGGGAGGAAUACCAGUGGCGAAGGCGGCCUUCUGGACUGACACUGACGCUGAGGUGCGAAAGCGUGGGUAGCAAACAGGAUUAGAUACCCCGGUAGUC
rnacentral:rRNA from 1 species